UAUUUUAUUAUUCUACUUUUAUUUUUCUAAAACAGUACUAGGUUUAUGGGUAAAUGUUGAAAUAACAAGGAGAUAUUCUUGUGUGCGGAUUCUCCUAUGAGACAUAGAACUCAAGGGGAAGGAGGGAAGACAGAGUACAAGGGGUCCACCUAUUGGAUGAACGCCGGUGAGACUCUCUCAGUAGCGGAGCCAAUGUUGGGGUCACUGGUUGCCCAUGACCCCAACAGCUUCAAAAUUCCUAUAUACAUUUGAAUCUGUAUUUGUAUUUCACCCCUAUAAAUAGUUAUGGCAAACUAAAUCAUAACAACCUCCUCCUACUAAUUAUGUUUUCUUUUGUCAUCCAUAUUUUCCUUUUCUCUUGUCUUGCGUGCCACUUUAUUGUGCGAACCAAUUGCUCGACAAAUGUCUCAGUUGACAACCUUAGCAGUCUUCAACAUCACUCGAUAGUUUCGUAUAGCUACCCUCGAUAAGCCUCUAUUGAUCAUAGUAGUUGUCGAUAUAGGUAAGUGUAAGCUUUUGGCAAAUGUCGGCAAUAAUCGACAAGUGCCCAUCAGGUGCUCGAUGAACUGGUCCAUUGAAGUUUUUUUGUCGAAAUUAUGAUCUCAUUAUUUGAAAAUCUUAACCCCGCCAUUAGACCCUCCAAUAAGUCUUUUGAUAUUGUCUCUGUAUCAAUGGAUUCUCAUUUGCCAUACAUAACUAAGAAGUAAGGCCAUGGCUUCAAUAGGGCACACAUCCAUCUAUUAAAUAGCCAAAGGCCGUAAAUGAUCAAAUAAUGGCCUUGCGCUUGAUUCAACCUGAAAGAAAGGUAGCCACUCUAAGAGCAACUUCACCGUUGCUCAUUGCAUUGGGGUUAGGCAACCCAAUCCACUCCCUCCCCUUUCCCCAAAACACUCAAAUUCACUCAGGCAAUUGGGCUUAAGAUGAGUUCGAUGGAGAAGUCGAGCAAUAAGAGCACGUCCAGUGUGUAAAGGCUCCCCUUGGCAAUAGGCAAUUCAAUCCCCUUAAUUGAAUAGUAAAUGCCCUUAAUGAACAGUAAUUACCUAUUGUAUCUCCACAUAUACUAAAUAGCCUAUGCAAUUCACAUUAAAAUAUUAGUAUUUUUUAUUUUAGAAAACAAUAAAAAAUAAUUUUAUUUUUAAUUUCGGAUAUGAUUUUUAACCGAUCACGUCAUGCCACAUUUCAGUAUCCAAAAGUACGAUUUUUGUGGGUAAAUUUCGAUAAGAUUUUUAACCAAUUCUGUAGCACCUCAUGUCUUUACCUGUUUAGAAUCGUUGAAAAUAUUGAAAUGUGGUGUCUUUCAAUUGUGGCCCAAACCUUGGAAUAUCAUAGGGCGAUAAAAAUUGUAUUCCGAACUUAAUUAAUAUAUUUCAAAUUUUCCUAAGCAAUUUUUGGGCAUAUUUCAAGCAACCAAAGUCCUAGCCUGGAUUGGAGGAAUGUUGCUUAAGUCUUAGUAUUAGAUUAACCUAUACAAUUGCACCAUCGAACUUAAUAAUUAAAAAGUAUUGUUAUGUCCACCCACCUAUCUUAUUUUCUCACCCACUUUAUAAUUAAAGAAUAUAUGUGUGUGUGUAUAUAUAUAAAUAUAUAAUGGAUGAGAAAAUAAGACAAGUGAAUAAACAUAAUAACAAUCUAAUUGAAUAAGCGUAAGAAUAUUAACAAAUAAGACAAGUGAGUAAACAUAAUAACAAUCUAAUUGGCCGUAGGAGGCUUAUCCUUAUUUGCUCGGAUUCUUCCGUUGCGUUCCAAACCAUACAAUAUACCAAUCUCGCAAAAUGCGCCUAUAAAAUUGUCAAGUAUAUGAUUUCAAAACUUAUAAUUUCGAUUACAAAAUUAAGAGUGUUUGGAAAGUAAAAAUAGGCUGUGUCAUACUUACGAGGGUCGUUGAAAGUACUUGGUCAUAGAGAAAGAGCAACACCAGUGAGACCCCAAAUUUGAACAAAACCAAUUUUUAAACAUCCAAAUUAGUUUUAAUAAAAAUAAAAAUAAUAACUUAUUACUUAUGUUUAAUUUUUUAUGCUUGAACCCACAACAUUGCACAUUAUUGAAAACCAAAUUAUUGAAAAUGCAGGGAGAGCAUAAAGUUUAAGUGUUAAGCCACCCCAUUGCAUAUGGUCUAAAAGUGAUGAGAAAAAAUGAAAACCAUAUAAAACAAUGAUAAUGUUAUAAAUGUGAAUGACCCCAUCUAAUGAUAUUGAAUUCAUUCAUACUAGCGCAUCCAUUUGCCUAUAGAACCAAUUCAAACAAAUGUUUCAGACAUACGAGAGAGAAAUAGUAAGCCUCAACAACCAAUAUUCCAUGCUUUGAUAUUUUCCAUGAUAAAUCCAAAAUUAUUAUAUGAAACCAUCCACAUUAGAUUAGCAAUACACUCCAUUAGAUUAGCAAUACAAUGUAGCUAGCAAUACACUCCAUUAGAUUAGCAACACAAUCAAAACAGAAACAAUCAGAUUUUGUGUCUCAGACAUCCAAGGAAGGAAAAAAAGCAGCAUAAGCUCUCAAGCCCGGCGAAAGGCGAAAGCUCUUAGGCGGCCACUGCGAAUGUUCUUGAGAAACAAGCCUUUGGAUUUAUCAUCACAGACCAUAAAUUAUCAAAUUUAACAAAAUAAGACAAGAAAUGUAAAAAAGAAAGAACAAGGGCAUCAGUUCUCCAAGGUGAUUGAUAAAACAUCAAUGAAAUUCAGACGCAAAUUACCCAUAAAUACCAAUUUGAUUCAUCACCUGCCCACAUUCUUUUCAAGCAAAGAAAUAACAAAACGAGUGGGGUUGUGUGUGGGAGUGAAAUUUGAAGUGUGAAAAGCGAUGGAAUUUAGAAAGAAAGCGAUCGGAACCUGUCGGGAUUCACAGUAACAUCAAACUGUUACCAGUCAGUGGAUUGACAGACAUGAAUUUCUAUCGUCACCUCGCUUUCUUCGAUCAAACCCAGUUCCUAAAACAGCUAAAAAAUCAUAAAACAAACUAAAACAUGAAACCAAUAGAAUUAAAGGACGCUCAGAACUUCUUAGAGGGUUGUGACCGUCAUCGACGGAGCUCAAAAGCUGCCGCCUUUGGCACAAAGAGCUUCAUCAAGGCCAUCAUUACAGAGAAUUAAAUGGAAACACACAGAAAUUAGGAGUCAUGAAGGGAAACGGGGAUUGGGUGGAGGCGGGAUGUUGAAGCGGCUAUGGACUUGAAGGAGGAGGAGGAGGAGGUGAGCAGAUGCUUCAAUUUGGGGAGAGUUGUUGCGGAAGAGGCAAUUUAUGGACUCCAUGAGAAAACCCUAGUUUUGUAAACCCUAUGGGCUGAAACGUUGGGCUGCAUUGGGUACCAGGAUUAGGGUGCAGAAAUAAUUUUCUUGGGCUUUAACGGGCUGCUGCUUCAUGAAUAUUUUUGUUUUUACUUUCAAAUUUUCAUUUAUUUAUGGAGAAAAUUCAGCAAUCAGAUUCAAACUGUAUCUAAAGUCUUUUAAAAUUAAAUUAAAAUCAAAUCAAAUAAAACAAAAUACUUAUCAAGAAGUGUUGUUCCAUGACACCAUAUUUUCUACCCAAGUUUCAGACCGUUAGAUCGGUAGAGAUUGAAGCAUUACGGUUAAGGUUGCAGGCAUGGAGGAUUAAUUUUUUAUUCUUCAAAUAGUAAAGCAUAUUUAAUUAUUUUCUUCAGAUGAAAGUUUUUUAUUGGCUUUUUUACUAAUAUGUAAUUGGAAUGAAAGAAAUUGUAUUAAGGAGGAGAUGAAAUGAGGUGAAGCAAAAAAUUAGAGUCAUGUCGAAAUUUUUUACUUCAAUUUGUUGAGGCCCAAAAAAAAAAUAGUCAUGUCGAAGUUUUUUACUUCAAUUUGUUGAGGCCCAAAAAUGUUACACACCAACCCAACCAAUUUUCAAGGCCCAAUUUUCAUAUAAAACCUUCACUCAAGCCCAACACAUGCCAAUGUGCGGGAUCGAUAAGGAAAUAUAUGUACGAACAUGCCACACCACGAUAAUUAAAUUGGAUAUUUAUACAAAUCACGCAAUGCUCAUGCCUAUUCAUGACGCCAAGCUUCCUCGUGCUAGUCACUAUUCAUGCUAAGCCCAAAUCACAUGCUCGAAGCUUGCUAACUGAAUUGUGGUGCGGAUGGUUACAAAAGGUUAUUAGGCCUACCUAAAAUUGAGGUUAUGGAAGACUUUAGGCUGCUUGGGGGCCUAGGAUCCAAGCCAUAUCCUUUGCAUUUCAUGCAGGCAAGCAUUGAGAGAGAACUAGCCUAGUUUACCUCUUUCCCUAGCAAGCUAACCCUCUUAGUUAAGACUAAACUAGAUUCCUACAUUAAAUGUAUGCUAAACCCAGUAAGUCAGGCAUUUACUGUUAAUUUUCCCUUCCUAGCUUGCACAGAUAACCAACACGCAAAAGUCAUAAGACGCGUUACCAAAAGUAGUGUUUGCGAAAGGCUGGCCUGGGAAAGCCGCAUCUCAGGAAGAAGCAAGUUACAGGUUUUAACAAUGUAUUUACCUUACACCAAAAGGGAAACAGUUGGGGGGGUUAGAGAGAAAUGAAGGGGAAUACCAAGCCAAAAAGGGAGAUUCCUUUGAAGUCUAGAUAAUAACCCUUCAUUUACAAAAUGAGAGAGAGAAACCAUUAAAGGGGCAUAAAGAGAACGCAGAUAGACAAAGUCAAGAAGCACCACCCAUGAAGUAAACCUAGAAAGCUCCAUUUAGCCUAGAAACAUACUCCAAGCGUCAAGAAUCAUCAUCCAUGCUACCUUAGAAAUUCCUAGCCUUCUAUUAAAGAUCCCAACCAUUAGAAGCCUUGCUAUCACCCUAGGAAAGCCCAAAUCAUCCAGCCAAGAAUGUCAUGCAAUCAUACAUACCCCUUCUCUCUCAUGUUAAACCGGUAAUCUUUUAGCUUCCACACCACGGCCUUGGAUUCUAUAACCUACAGACAAGGUUAUGCCAAUUGUUGUGAAGUUCAAUAAUGAUUGUGUGCCGAACUUUAAAAGUAACAUGAAAGUAACACUUCACUUCGUCGAGAAAGCUAAUGAAGUGACCUAUUUUAGCAAAAGAAUCAAAGAAGAAACCAGGGCACAAGGCCAAACACUGUUUUCUCUCCAACACUUGACCCCAAUUGACAAUCAGCUAGUACUUUUUUUUUUUUGGUUGAAAGGUGGAUUCAUGGAAGAAACCAGGGCACAAGGCCAAACAAACAAACAGAAAGCUUGUCGGUCAACCAAGAAACCAUGAACACAAAGAUAAACAUGACAUAAGAAGACGCCUUCAAGAAGGACACCAGCAUCAUCCUAUCUACCCACAAGGAACCCCCCACCCUUACACUGGAGGACAUGAGAGACCGUCUUUGAUUGAUAGUCAGCUGGUACCUGAGGUCCUUAGAUUGAGAAAGACUUGUCAAGAGUUUUCGAUCACAUCAUUCGUUGGACAUCUCUCAUAAAAGCAUACAAACACUUGUAUCAUUAUCCCACUGAACUCUAAGUUAGAGUUAGUCUUAAAUUAUAAGCCAUAAGUAAACCAUUAGACUUGGUUUUAGGUCCUUUAGUAGAAAAACUUGUGUAGAAUCUCCAACCUUUCUAAUGAACAAUGUAAAUCCAUAUUUAUAUACCAUUUCCAACCGAAGAGGGCUAUUUUAGCCCUCUCAAUAAUUUAUUAUUUUAAGUUUGUUCUUUAUUUUUAUUGGUUAAUUGAUUUAAACUACCAUAUUAAAAUAAGGUUUUCGGACAUAUUUUGAGUGUCACUUAUCACUAAGUGAAUAAGCCUCCGGAUUUCUUAUUCUUUGGUUGAAGAUAUGGUCAUUUGAAAAAAUAUUGAAAAUUUUGAAUUUAGAUUAUUGGAAGAGGUAAGGGAGGGGUGUUUAUGAAAAGGAUGUGAGAAAUGAUGUAGAAAUCACUUAGGUAUUUAUAGGAAAAAAAAUUAUUUUUUUUUUAAAUUUCGGCCUUAAAAAACAAACAGGCUAUCUGAUUGGCUAAAAAUGCCCAGCAUGAUGGCCAAAGGGCUAAAGCUUGGCCUUGUGGGUCCCUUUUUUUUGGCUCAGCCCUCCAUUAGAGUUGAAUUUUGGAGCAUUUUGGGCUGGAUUUUAGCCUAUAACCUAUAGCCAUCUCCAAUGGAGAUAGCCUUACCAAACUCGAAGCUGGUCAUUGAUGCCAUAAAAGGAGUUUGUUCUACUCUUUGGCGUCUGAGGAACAUUUUAGAAGAUAUCAAAUGGUUGGCUUUGUGUUAAACCCCACCCUCGAAUUUAUAUGUAUUUUUAUAAUUUCCCAAAGUUUUAUUGAAUUUAUCAUUUUGGUUCCCUAGCUUGACUAAAUCUGGACCCUUUAUCUAGAUUCCUAAACUCCCUCAAAUUGCCACGUGGCAGCACCCUAACAAACCUUAUAUAUCUCUCUCUGUUCCCCCCGCCCUCGUGACUUCUUCUUCUUCUUCUUCUUCUUUAUGUUUAUGCUUUCUCUCCCUUCUCUAUUCUUUCCCUCUUUCAUCGAGACACACACACACACACACCCACUUGCACCCAGCUGCAUUCCCUGCUCGAGGAAGACACAACCAUCGUCAUCAUCAGAACCUCUGUAGUUCUCUCUAUCUCAUGUUGCUGUAGGAACGACGAAACCUCAGAAACCUCCAACGAGAAAAUCCGUCGAAGCUCGUACACAAACCCGACCAAUCUUGACCGCAUUUGAGUCUAUUUGUGGUAAAAUCUUGCUUCCCUUCUCUUUCAGCAUCAUUUUUAUGAUUUAACUUCCUAUUUUUACUUAGUUUUAGGUCCAAAUCGGAAUCGGGACGAAUCCCGAUCAAACCUUCUGGUGUUCUUCCUCGAUCACCUAGCAGGCCACCCGCGAGCCUUAACUUGUAUUUGGACAAGCCCAAAACCCUAAAACCCAACCCGUUUCCUCUUAUUUUCUACUAAUUGUUUUAAAGGCCCAAAGGUGCCUCAGACCUAUUUUAUUCAAGUGGGUUUAAGCCCAGCCCUUUUGAUUUUUAGGCCUGCGGGCCGAGUAUGUGGGUGUGUGCAUAUAUGGUGUGUGUGUGUGAGUGUGUGUGGUGCACAUGUAUAUGUGUGUGUUGUGCCGUGUGUGUGUGUGUGCUGGCGUGUGUGUAUGUGUGUUGUGUAGGUUUGGGCUUAAGCCCAAACCACCCUUUUUGUUCCUAAACUAUUCAAACCCAAAACCCAAUAGGUCCUAACCCUAUUUAACCUAAACCUAAACCCUAAUCCGGAUCCAAACCCAAGACCCAUUUCCAUUUCUUGAAAUUUUAUAAUUGGGUAGUAUGAUAAAUUGUACAUUUUUGUGCUUAGGUGAAGUUGCUAGCGGGGAUUUCCCUAAUCCUUUUCCGCACAAUUCUGCUGCUACGGAGUAUCUGUGAGUGGACCCCUUCUAAAAUUUGCAUAAUUUUAUAGUUUAAUUGCAUAAAUGAAUAGCAUGCCUUAUGAGUUUAUGAACUGAUUUUAUGUUAAGCAUGUUUAUGGAAUAUGUUGUUUAUCGUCUCGUUUUUUGUGAGGAAUUAAUUAUUAGCCUAUAUUGAGCUAUAGUUUGAUAUAUCGUAUUUUCUAUAAAAACCAUGAAUUGGUAGACUAUCUGAUGGAUGACGAUAGGAUGCUAGAACAUAUUUUAGAAACCCCUCUUUAUAGUAUAGAUGAUGGAUGACUUUAUACUAUGAAGUGGUUAUUUAUGAGAGGCAUAACUAUUUGUGCGUACCUAGUGGACACUAUGCUGCCUGGGGCGAGGAUCUGGUGUUGGCAGAUAAGCCGGGAGAAAUAAUCCCUAACUACGGGCUGAGGGACAUGGAGCAGGCAUUUGGCCAGGAGUUGGUAAUCUCUGGCUACAGGCGCAGAGACCACGGUGCUGGCAUAAGGUCGAGAGUUAUAUUUAUUCAAUGAUCUUACUGGCAGCACACCCCGCUUACGAGACGAUCUGUGAGACGAUUGAUGUUUUGAUUUCCGCGAUGUUUUUUCGCGAUAUGUCUUUUGAGAUAUUUUUGGCAUGCCAGGGUUUUCAGUAAACCUAUCACUUAUUAUGUUAGUAGUUUUCUUUAUAUAAACUUGGGGGUUAGUAUGUUGAUAACUGUUUUAUUAUAUAUAUAUAUAUAUAUAUAUAUAUAUAUAUAUAUAUAUAUAUAUAUAUAUAUAUAUAUAUAUAUAUAUCAACUUGGUCCACUCACCUUUGUUUUGCGCCCCCAUUCAGGACUUAGAAUUGAGGCAUACAAUCCCGGCGUCAAGGCACUUCCGCAGCGGCAUCUUCGAGUCCUCUUGGUGUAGGACCUACUCCUUUGUUCAUUCAAUUUUAUAUGAUUUCUUUUAGUAUUCUGGUUAGUUGUAUGCUUUGAACACGUUCCUUAAAUGUAUAUUCAUUAUUCUUUUAUAUUUCUAAGUCUUAUCUAUCCCUUGUUUGUAGCAUUUGCACUCAAUAAAUGGCUUUUGUCACCUUCGAGUGUCGGCCAGCACGUGCCUAUCCUAGUAUUAAGGGAAUAUCAGGAUCGGGGAGUGUCACUUUGGCUUUUGAUGAGAUCACUUGGAACCAUGUCUACAGUGAAGAGAAUUUUCUAGCAGAUGUUGUUACUAGUACGAGAUUUAUGUAUCAUAAUUUUCAUGUCUGAACAGAACCUUGCUGCCUCUAGCAAAAAACCUUUCAAAGUACCUCCAAAGGAGACGCCAAAUUCAAAACAUCAAUUUCAAUUUGAUGGCUGACUUGGUAAUUUGACAUAUUGUCAAGAUUUUCCUUCCACCCGAUAUGCCAAAAUUUACUUCUUCAUUUAUGUUUUUUUAAACAAAAUUAAUAAACGUUGGGUUGUUGUUGGUUUAAAAAUAAUAAAAUAAUACUUAAAUAUGUCAGCUUAACUUUCUUUUCCAUGUCAUCUUUGACAUCUCCAUUGAAGUAAAUGAUACGUCAUUUAUUACUGUUAUAUAUCUAUAUGAAAUUUUUAACAUUUCUUUUAAAGAUGGUCUUAGAAGUGACUUUAUCUAAUGUUAUUUCUCUCCUAUAAAAGGAAAUUGGAACUUCCAAAAAUUAAAAAGAAAAGAUAAAGCUUUCAUCAUAAAUGCAAUGUUUAGUCAAGUUGCCAAUGCUUAAGUUUAUGGGUUGUCUGCCUUAUUCAACAGAUGCUGACUUUUCUCCUUGAAUAGUGUGGCGGCUCACCAUUUGAUGCCCAGUGUAUAAAUAAAUAUAGUCCAUAUUGUCAAUAGACUUUUUAUUCAAAAUGAUGUCUGAGAUUUGCAUAACACAUUACCUUGGUCAUUGGGAUUGAAAAUCAAUAAAAAUGGUCUCUGAGAUUGUUCACCAUCCAUUAUUUUGGUCAUUCCGUUAAAAACUCCGUUAAAUGUCCAAGAGCUUUUGGUCGGAAGUUUGGGCAAUUUUCAAAGCUUUGUAACGCAGGCGUUUCUUAACCAAAUUCAACCCAUAAUAUAUCAAAAUGAAGAUAGGAAAGUGUAGAAUAAGAUGAUACCUAUUUGGAAGCCCAAUGGUUUCUGGAGAUGAUUGAAAAAUAGCCUGAACGUUAACUGGUCAGCAGAAAAAUUAUAAAACUCGCCAGAAACUGGGUAAAUUUAAACAUUCAUAACUUCUUCAAUACUUAGCGAAAUAGAGUGGUUCAAAAACAAAAAUCAUACUUCUCGACGAGACAAAGAGAAUGGUACCUUUGUUGAAGGCUAACUCGCCGUGCUUUGGCCGAAAAAAGGCUCGAAAGUGGAUGUCUUGGUCAUCGAGUUAGCCACUUUCGAGCCAUUUUUUUCGGCCAAACCACUGUGAUUUAGCCAUGAAGAAAGGUACCAUUCUCUUCGUCUCGUCGCGAAGUAUGAUUUUUAUUUUUGAAUCAAUCAAUUUCGUUGAGUAUUGAAGAAGUUAUGAAUGUUUCAAGUUUACCCAGUUUCCAGCGAGUUUUCCAGUUUUUCCACAGACCAGUCACCUUUCAGGCUAUUUUCCAGGCAUCUCCAUCAACCAUUGGGCUUCCAAAUAGGUAUAAUCUUAUUCUACACUUUUCUAUCUUCAUUUUGAUAUAUUAUGGGUUGAAUUUGGUUAAGAAACGAUUGAGUUACAAAGCUUUGAAAAUUGCCCAAACUUCUGACCAAGAGCUCUGGGAAACUUAACGGAGUUUUUAAUGGAAUGACCAAAAUAAUGGAUGGUGGACAAUCUUAGGACCAUUUCUAUUGAUUUUCAAUCUCAGGGACCAAAUUGAUGUGUUAUGCAAAUCUCAGAGACCAUUUUGACUAAAAAGCAUUUUCAAUAAAAUUCAAUGCUCUAGUGCACUGUUCACAUAGUGUGUCGUUGUAGCGAAAUUAUAGUGUCCGACGUUCAAACCACUAGAAACAUGCGGCCUAGUGAGCAAUUUUGUUCAUCGACAUAAGUUAUGGUUCAUUAUAUAUCUAUUCAUCUGUCACGUGUUUUUGACUUAAUUUUGGUUAUUUUUCUUUUAAAUUAAAAUAGUAAUACUUAAUGUGAAAGUUAAUUAAGAUUAAAUGAAAUGACAUGUGGUAGAUGCUUAGGUGUAUAAUAAACGUACAUUAUAAUUAUGCUUAGCUGUUCAUCUUCUUGCACUUGAGUUUGAGAAUACUGCAUUGGCGAAAAAUGAUAUUAACAAUUGGACUGUAUUAAUGUCCUUAACGCGCAGCCUGCGAUGGUAUUGUGUGGCCUCGAAAAUGAUUAGCGGCCUAAUUCAAUUGAAAACCAUAAAUGGAGGGAGGACUAGUUGUUGGCGUAGUAAUCACUCCAAAAUUCCAACAAACAAUACAAAAAAACAGUGUUUGGGAAUCAUAGUCAUAUGACCAAACCGACAGCGAAAGGAGUGGACUUUAUUAUUUUACAACAAUUCCUCCUCCUCCUCUCUGUCACUCUCUCACAAUUCACACAAAUUAGCACCCAAUGUCCUUCACCUCUAACAUUAAAAAUACCGUCUAAUUAUUUUUCUCACGUAAAUAUCUGAUAGUUUUUAUUUGGUGUAAUAAAUAUUUGAUAUUUCUUUUAAUAAAUUAAUAUUGGUGAAAGUGCAACAGCACAUUUUAUAUAAAUAAAUAAAUUAUUCAUUCAUAGUUUUCCUUCCUAUUCGGAUCUGUACCUACCUGUGAGGGUGAGGACAUGUUGCCUUGCUUUGGCAUCGUACCCCAUCAUUUUCUUCUUUUGGUCCUACCAAAUGUUCCAAUGAUUUAAUCAUAUAUAAACGCUUCACUUUCUCCAUUUUUAUACUUAUUUUCAUAGGUUUAAUAUCUAAUGAAAAUUGACAUUUUAUUUUUAGACUUUUUUAUACAAUGUAUAUUAUGGCUGUAUGUAUUUUGGGGAUGAAAAAGAAAGACUUGUACCAAAGCAGCAUGUCGAGAUAUGCCUAAUAUGCAUUCCAUAAAACAUUUAGUAAGCACAAAAAUGACUCGUACCAAAUAUUUGGAGGAUCUCGCAUGGUAUCUCCAGCAAUAUGGAGUUGAAAUUGGCUGCAAGAAGAAAACUGCAUCAUUUUUCUUCAAAUAUUCCUUUGAAGGGAGAAUUUUUUCAUUGUGACGGGAAUACGAGUGGUACACCACGUGUUUUUAUGUAAGUGGUGGGAAAUUUUAUUUUUUUAAGUUAUUAACUUUUUAGCACACAUAUCCUACUAUUUGUAUAGUAACACGUAAUGUACCACUCCGUAUGCCAGUCACAUUAAAAAAAUCUCUCCAUCCCCUGUGCCCCUUUUUUGACUUUCUUCAAAGAAAUUGUGCUAACUAACUUAAGAUACUCGCAACCGUGUACGUAAAAUGCGUAAAGGAGCCAUCAUCCCAUGUGCCCCAUUUAGGAAAAGGAUCCUUACCGAAUCAUUUUCUUAGGGAUCAUAGGGAUCCCGUAAUUGUGAUCAUUCAUUGUAAAUCAUGCGAUCAGUUUUCGUUAGGUACUAUUUAUAUUUAAUUUUAAAUUUUAAAAUGAUUUCUAACCGGACGAUGUACGAUGAACAAUCACGAUUAUGGGAUCCCUAUGAUCCCUAGGAAAAGGAUCCGGCGUGGAUCUUUUCCACAACUAUACUCUCCUACUCUCUCUCUCUCUCUCUCUCUCUCUCUCUCUCUCUCUCUCUCUCUCUCUCUCUCUCUCUCUCUCUCUCUCUCUCUCUCUCUCUCUCUCUUCAUUGGAUCUUCCUUACUUCUGAACUAGUCUCUCUCCCUCUCUUGCUUCAUUGGAUCCUCCUUAAUUCUAAACUAGUCUCUUUCUCUCUUUAAUUAACAAAGUAAUCUCUUUGCAACAACUCCUUGGAAGGUGUGUGUUGAAUAAUAUAUACUAAGGGGAUAUUGUGGAUGCAAAUUUCAUCCUCCUUGAUCUUGGACAAAAUUGCACCUACAAAACAAUUAACACCUUAGGUCAAGGCCAAGAGCCUCAUGCGCCCACAAUGAAUGGGGGGGGAGGCUUUGGCUAAAGAACCUCCGAUGCCAAAGUUAGAAUUUAGAGAGAAAAAGUGUUUGAGAAUUCUAGAGAAUUUUAGCAAGAGUUGGAAGUCCCCUUUUGGGAGAGAAUGGUGAGCUAUAUAUAGGGAAUGGAGGUGGCCGGCCCUUAGAGGUUUUUUAUGUGAAAUGGGUGAUUUGAUUGGUGAUUAAUGGAUUAAUUAGGCAUUAAUUAACCAAUUAAUCUCCAUUUAUAUGGAAUAAUUUGUAGGUUAUGAAGUAAUUACCUAAGAUGAGGAUGGAUGAGAUAAUUUGGAAUUGGUUACCUUUUUUGGACACUCUUGGUGAAUGAUUGUCCACUGCUCGCGCGUAGGACAACCGAUGUGUCUCAGUGGUAACUUUGUCCUUUUUACCAAAAAUCCAUGUGUCACCUUGUGAUUAUUUUUUACUCCACUAUAUAUACAAGGGAUAUAUUACACUAAUAUAUACUAAGGGGAUGCAGAAGAGUAAGAACCCAAAAAAUAGUGAAUUGAAGAUAAAUGCCCUAUUUAUAAGGGCAAUCCACCAUCUCUCAUAAUUAGGCUAAACUCUAGUUCACCGAAGCCAAUUUGGGAGGUGUCUGUUCUAUCUCAAGGUUUGCUAGUUCAUUUUCAAAUGUUUUAGUUUGUUUUUAUCUUUAUUUGAAGAUUGGUGACAUUCCUUAUUACUGUGACAUAUUAGAUUAAUAAACAACAAAGAAUUACAUAAUCCAUACGUCUUGUCUUUGUUAAUAUUAAAUUUCAUUGGAUGCUCUGCCGAUCAAAGCUGAAACCAAUGGUGGAACAAGACAAUCCAAUAUUAAAAUUUUAACAAAAUUGGGGGGUGACAUGAGAGUUUUAAUAAAAGUUAUGAACUGAUGAUGCCGUGCCCCUAUUUUGUCUUUCUUAAUACGUGCGAACGCAUUGAAUUAUCGUUGUAUAGAGUAGAAGGACUCGGCUGACUCUGUCCCUCCACUAGCACUAGGAAUUAGGAACUUCCUCGCAUCAGGAGGAGCUGCAUUCAUUCUUAAAUUCACAUUUCUUUGAGUCCUCCACUAAGGAUAUAUUAUAGUGAAUAUUAAUGAAAUAUUUUUGGUACUAUUUACUUUUAAUGUUAAAGAUGUUUUUAUUUUAAAAAGUUAUUCCUGAUACUAUUUAUUUACACUUUUAUUUUAUCUUUUUUAUUAAAAUUAAAGUUUUGAGGAUUUUUCAUUAGUUUUCCUUGUAAUAUAACCUUUUAUUCCUUCUGAACGCACAUGGCUUCUGCAAUGAAAGUGCUGAAUGCACAUGAGCAUUUUUGUUCAUCGACAUAAGUUAUGGUGUAUGUUCACAAUAUAUCGAUUCAUUUGUCACGUGUUCUUAACUUAAUUUUGGUUAACUUUUUUUUUUUAAAUUGAAACAGUGAUAUUUAAAGUGAAAAUUAACUAAAAUUAAGUGAAAUAACAUGUAUUAGAUGCUUAGAUGUAUAAUAAACAUACACUAUAAUUAUGAUAGCAAACAAAAUGUUCUCCACGGGCUACAGUAUAAAAAAACUCCCAUGACACAUCACCUAUCACUGCCCUACUUUUUGGACUGGGAUCACCUCCGGACCCCUCCUGCUGAGCAAAUUGAGCAAAAUAUCUCAUAAAUAAAUUUAAAUUGAAAAAUUCUCACGCAAAAUAAGGUAAGAUGAAAAUGGAAUGAUGAGAUAUUUUGCUCAGUUUGCUUAGCAGGGGGGAUUCGAAAGUGAUCCAUGUCCCUAAACCCUCCCCCACUUUCUCCACUUUUUCCACUAUCUUUUCUUGUUUGAUUUAUCUCCCUUCCUUUUUCAAUUCCCUUCAAUCUUCACUUCUCACACUUUCUAUUUUGUAUUUCUUUUUUUUUAUAAAAAAUUAGUAUAAGAUAUUAAUAUUACUUAAUCAUGACCGUUCAAAUAAGAAGGAAAGGAAGAAGAGAAAAAAAAAGAGAGAGAAAAUCCUUCUCCAUGGACAAAAGACCUUGUCAGUAUGGUUCACCAGGUGCAUGCAAAUUGUUAGAAUAAAGGUCAAAUUUUCUUGAACUGUGCUAUUCAGAUCUUGUUCUGUGGUGUGUAAUAGAGUGCUGCACUCGGUCGUCUCCUUUGUCUCUAAAAAUAAAAGGUAAUGGGGAUAGAUUUUAGAUACGUAUUUCAUAUGGUAUGUUUUGAGUUUAAUUUUGUCAAUGGUGAAUUGCAAAAUGGUGGUUAGAAGAUAUUGAAAUAUAUAUGUGAGUCUUUCCGGCCCUCUGAAUGAUGGGCUGUCGUGGCAAAGUCACAAGCAGGUUCAUUUUUUGAAAAAAUAUAACAAGGAAUACUAAAUUUGUAACUUCAUUUUGUAAAAUAAAUGACAUAGAAGCCGGUGAUUAGGUUAUUACUUAAUUGUCGAUUACCGUGCUUAUUUUUUAUUGAUGACAUAUUAUUUAGUUUGUAAAUUUAGUCUACGUAGUAUUAUGAAAAAUCCUCAUAUAUGGCAUUUUUUGGAACUAUAUUAGUUUAUUAAUAUUUUGACAGAAAACGUACCCAUUCAUUGACAAUUAAUAUGUUCUCUGAAUUAUUGUGUUUCAGUCGAAUUCUGAUAUCUCGACCACUCAAUUUAAAUCAAAUGGUUCUCAUUAGCUUAUUCUAUUUGCCCACCUCAAAUAAAUUAAGAGUCUUAAUCUCUUAAUAGUUUGAAAAAAAUGGGGCCAGAAUUAUUGUUCAUCCAUGCAAGUUGAUCAUUGUUUCUGAGUGAUACGUUAGGGGAAAGUCAAUUGUUUGACCACAUAACACAGUUUGUGCAUAUAUAGAUAGAUCCGUCAUCACUGAGAGAACUCACAAAAGAUAAAGCCUCUCCUGCUCCUCCUAGGCUAGCAGAACAAUGGCCAAAAUUCCAGUGGUAGAUUUCUCGAAAGAUGAUUGCUUGAAGCCGGGGACAAGUUCUUGGCUCUCGGCACGCAGAGAUGUCUGCCGUGCACUGGAAGAUAUCGGCUGUUUCACGGCAAUUCUUCCCAACAAAGUUCCAAAGGAACAUGCCAACACCUUCUUCUCUACAUUUGACGAUUUGUUUGAUUUUCCAACCAGUACUCCUGAAAAGCCCUUCUUCUAUGCAACUUCUAAUUCCGGGCAACGAACCUACGGGAUCAUCAACGGCACAAACCCUCAAGAUGUUCAACAAUUCACACAUCUCAUUUGGCCCGAUGGAAACGAUCAAUUUCGGUAUGAUCGAUCACUACUGCAUUUCUCAAACAUAUAGAUCUCAAUACAUACAUACAUAUACAUACAUAUAUAUAUAUUAUAUUGAUCAUAUACAUCAAUGUAUAUAUACUAAUAAUAUGUUCUUUGUUACCCAGUGAGAGUGCUGACUUUUAUGCAAAAGUGCUGGCGGAAUUAGAUCAAACUGUGACAAGAAUGGUGUUUGAAAACUACGGUGUAGAGAAGUACCACGACGAUCACGUUCGAUCGAUGUUUUACAAUUUGAAAAUGAUUAGAUACGAGAAACCCUAGAAACUUGAUAGUGAUGUGGGUUUAAAGAUUCAUACGGACAAGAACUUCUCCACCAUAAUCCAUCAAAACCAUAUCAACGGUCUGGAGAUAAAUACAAAGGAUGAUGAGUGGGUGCUUUUUGAUCCUCCACCUUCAUCCAUUAUAUUCAUAGCAGCUGACGGAUUUCAGGUAUGUCACAUAUUAUUUACCCUUUGAACACGAGUAAUUUGAUAACCGUUUCUUUUUUACCUUUUUCUAUUAGUUAUUUGAGUUUUCAAAAUUUGGCUUUCCAUUUUUAUUUUUUUGACUAAUAUUUUAGCAACCAAUUACUAGUUGUUUUCGAUACAAGUAAUUAUUUUUCAACAAGGACGUUUGUGUUCUUUUAUUGGCUUAGGUUUGGAGCAAUGACAGAAUCCGACCUUGUAGACAUAGAGUGACCUUGACUGAAAAUGUUGUAAGAUACACAUUUGGUGUCUUCUCUGUCAAGAAAGGGGUGAUACACGUACCGAAUGAGCUCGUGGACGAAGACCACCCGUUACUGUAUAAGCCUUUGAAUCAUGUUGAGUUCCUCAUGGCACAGAGACAUACUGGUGAAACUGAGUAUGCCGCAAAGGCAUAUUGUGCCAUUUGACAUUUUCUUUGGUCCAAAGCUCCAAGUCAAUCCCGCUAUGGUUUUCUCUUUCUAUUUUCUUCCAUGUAUUUUAUUAUUCUACUUUUAUUUUUCUAAAACAGUACUAGGUUUAUGGGUAAAUGUUGAAAUAACAAGGAAAUAUUCUUGUGUGCGGAUUCUCCUAUGAGACAUAGAACUCAAGGGGAAGGAGGGAAGACAGAGUACAAGGGGUCCACCUAUUGGAUGAACGCCGGUGAGACUCUCUCAGUGGCGGAGCCAAUGUUGGGGUCACUGGUUGCCCAUGACCCCAACAGCUUCAAAAUUCAUAUAUACAUUUGAAUCUGUAUUUGUAUUUCACCCCUAUAAAUAGUUAUGGCAAACUAAAU
rnacentral:lncRNA from 1 species